rnacentral:rRNA from 1 species
GCACAACGCGAAGAACCUUACCAGGGCUUGACAUCCCUCUGAUCCUCCUAGAGAUAGGAGCUCCCUUCGGGGCAGAGGUGACAGGUGGUGCAUGGUUGUCGUCAACUCGUGUCGUGAGAUGUUGGGUUAAGUCCCGCAACGAGCGCAACCCUUAUCUUUAGUUGCCAGCAUUUAGUUGGGCACUCUAGAGAGACUACCGUCGACAAGACGGAGGAAGGUGGGGAUGACGUCAAAUCAUCAUGCCCCUUAUGGCCUGGGCUACACACGUGCUACAAUGGAUGGUACAAAGGGCUGCGAAGCCGCGAGGUGGAGCCAAUCCCAUAAAACCAUUCUCAGUUCGGAUUGCAGGUUGCAACUCGCCUGCAUGAAGCCGGAAUCGCUAGUAAUCGCGGAUCAGCAUGCCGCGGUGAAUACGUUCCCGGGUCUUGUACACACCG